AUUGAACGCUGGCGGCAGGCCUAACACAUGCAAGUCGAACGAGUGGCGGACGGGUUAGUAAUGUCUGGGAAACUGCCUGAUGGAGGGGGAUAACUACUGGAACCGGUAGCUAAUACCGCAUACCAUCGGAUGUGCCCAGAUGGGAUUAGCUAGUAGGUGGGGUAACGGCUCACCUAGGCGACGAUCCCUACCUGGUCUGAGAGGAUGACCAGCCACACUGGAACUGAGAAACGGUCCAGACUCCUACGGGAGGAAGCAGUGGGGAAUAUUGGACAAUGGGCGCAAGCCUGAUGCAGCCAUGCCGAGUGUAUGAAGAAGGCCUUCGGGUUGUAAAGUACUGGCAGCGGGGAGGCGUUACCCGCAGAAGAAGCACCGGCUAACUCCGUGCCAGCCGCCGCGGUAAUUC
rnacentral:rRNA from 1 species